GUCCUGACUGCAUGCACACGCUG
rnacentral:piRNA from 1 species